UACGUAGGUGGCAAGCGUUGUCCGGAUUUACUGGGUGUAAAGGGCGUGUAGCCGGGAAGGCAAGUCAGAUGUGAAAUCUGGAGGCUCAACCUCCAAAUUGCAUUUGAAACUGUUUUUCUUGAGUACUGGAGAGGCAGACGGAAUUCCAUGUGUAGCGGUGAAAUGCGUAGAGAUAUGGAGGAACACCAGUGGCGAAGGCGGCUUCCUGGUCUGCAACUGACACUGAGGCGCGAAAGCGUGGGUAUCGAACAGG
rnacentral:rRNA from 1 species